GACGAACCGUGCGAACGUUGUUCGGAAUCACUGGGCUUAAAGGGCGCGUAGGCGGCCGGGUUGGUCGUGGGUGAAAUCCCCCAGCUUAACUGGGGAACUGCCUACGAUACUGCCUGGCUCGAGGGAGGAAGGGGCGGUCGGAACUGUCGGUGGAGCGGUGAAAUGCGUUGAUAUCGACAGGAACGCCGGUGGCGAAAGCGGACCGCUGGCCCUCUUCUGACGCUGAUGCGCGAAAGCCAGGGGAGCGAACGGG
rnacentral:rRNA from 1 species